UUAACCUUGCCUCAUUUGGUGGAUUCCCCUAUCAACACAUUCUAUUACAUCUAUAUAUAUAUAUAUAUAUCGUAUGUAUCUAUCACAAACAAAUUCCACCAGCCCAUUGCUUAUAUAUAUGAUUCUUGAAGAGAUCGACUUUUUAUAGAGAUAUAGAGCAGCAAGCUAAGAAUAUCUGGUCAGGUUAGUUAACAAAUUAAAGAAAGAUGGCGAAAAUAAGAGUGGGGCUAGUGCUGAUUGCCUUGAUGCUAUUAAUAGUAAGUUGCCGUUGCUCGGCAGUGGUGGCGCCGGGGAGGAUGAUGAUGGAUCGAGAAUCGAAGCCGGUAAUGAAAGAGGAUGUUGUUAAGUAUGUGGAGAAUGAGAAUAAGAAUGAAAUGAAUGAUAAGUUGGAUGGAGACAAUCACCAUUACUACUCCAUACCAGAUUUCAACAGGAAAGGUGGUGGUGGCUAAUUCAGUUCA